rnacentral:tRNA from 1 species
GGUGGAUUGGCUCAGUGGUUAGAGCGUAGGUCUCGUAAAAGAAAGGUUGCGGGAUCGAAUCCCGCUAGAGGCUG